GCACUUCUUCCUCCCGCUCCAAUGCAGAGACUGAGAUCAACUUCCUGAUGAAGCAGGCCCUGACCAUCGUAGCCACCCUGCCUUUCACCUACAUGCUGGAGGAGUGGAGGUGGCAGGUCUUCCUGGGGACCAUCCCCAAGGACCAGUGGAUGCAGCGCUGGUGGGAGAUGAAGAGGGAUAUGGUCGGUGUAGUGGAGCCCUUACCCAGAGAUGAGACAUACUGUGACCCGCCUGCACUGUUCCACGUGUCCGGAGACUACUCCUUCAUCAGAUACUUCACCAGGAC